UGCUCAGGUCCUGGUUGUUGCCACAUUGGCUGACCCAUAUACGGGUUCGGCGGAUACGCGCCCGGGUUACCCAUAACCAUUCCCGGGUUCCCAAUUGGAGCUGUUCCAGGAGGCAAGUAUCCAUACGGAUAACCCGCAGCUGUAGCAGCUUCAGCACCAACACCACCCAAGACUUCAUCACGAAGAUCCUCCCGAGGAACAAUAUCCACAAGAAAAUCAAAA